GGGUCUAUGGCUCAGCCAGGUAGAGCGAGGGACUCUUAUGAUCAUUUCGGAGACAUCCCUAUGUCGUGGGUUCAAAUCCCACUAGACCCG
rnacentral:tRNA from 1 species